rnacentral:rRNA from 1 species
CCCUAGUAACGGCGAGUGAAGCGGGAAGAGCUCAAAUUUGAAAUCUGGCGGUCUCACGGCCGUCCGAGUUGUAAUCUAGAGAGGUGUUUUCCGUGCCGGACCGUGUACAAGUCCCUUGGAACAGGGCGUCAUAGAGGGUGAGAAUCCCGUCCAUGACACGGACUACCGGUGCUCUGUGAUACACCUUCAAAGAGUCGAGUUGUUUGGGAAUGCAGCUCAAAAUGGGUGGUAAAUUCCAUCUAAAGCUAAAUACAGGCGAGAGACCGAUAGCGAACAAGUACCGUGAGGGAAAGAUGAAAAGAACUUUGGAAAGAGAGUUAAACAGUACGUGAAAUUGUUGAAAGGGAAACGCUUGAAGUCAGUCGCGUCUGCCAGGACUCAGCCUUGCUUCUGCAUGGUGCAUUUCCUGGUGGAUGGGCCAGCAUCGAUUUUGGUCGCCGGACAAGGGCGGGAGGAAUGUGGCAGCUUGCUGUGUUAUAGCCUCCCGUCGUACACGGUGGUUGGGAUCGAGGACUGCAGCACGCCUUUGGUCGGGGUUCGCCCACGCCACGUGCUUAGGAUGCUGGCGUAAUGGCUUUAAACGACCCGUCUUGAAACACGGACCAAGGAGUCUAACAUGCCUGCGAGUGUUUGGGCGUUAAACCCAGGCGCGUAAUGAAAGUGAAAAGUUGGGACUCUUUAGUGAGGCACCGACGCCCGAUCCUGACGUUCUCUGACGGAUUUGAGGUAGAGCAUGUAUGUUGGGACCCGAAAGAUGGUGAACUAUGCCUGAAUAGGGUGAAGCCAGAGGAAACUCUGGUGGAGGCUCGUAGCGAUUCUGACGUGCAAAUCGAUCGUCAAAUUUGGGUAUAGGGGCGAAAGACUAAUCGAACCAUCUAGUAGCUGGGU